rnacentral:rRNA from 1 species
AUCAGGGGGAUAGCCCGAAGAAAUUCGGAUUAACACCGCAUAAAAACACAGGAUAGCAUUAUCCCAUGUUCAAAUAUUUAUAGGAUUAAGAUGGGCAUGCGUGUCAUUAGCUAGUUGGCGGGGUAACGGCCCACCAAGGCGACGAUGACUAGGGGAUCUGAGAGGAUGACCCCCCACACUGGUACUGAGACACGGACCAGACUCCUACGGGAGGCAGCAGUAAGGAAUAUUGGUCAAUGGAGGCAACUCUGAACCAGCCAUGCCGCGUGCAGGAAGACAGCCCUCUGGGUCGUAAACUGCUUUUAUUCGGGAAUAAACCUACUUACGUGUAAGUAGCUGAAUGUACCGAAGGAAUAAGGAUCGGCUAACUCCGUGCCAGCAGCCGCGGUAAUACGGAGGAUCCAAGCGUUAUCCGGAUUUAUUGGGUUUAAAGGGUGCGUAGGCGGCUUAUUAAGUCAGGGGUGAAAGACGGUGGCUCAACCAUCGCAGUGCCCUUGAUACUGAUGAGCUUGAAUGAACUAGAGGUAGGCGGAAUGUGACAAGUAGCGGUGAAAUGCAUAGAUAUGUCACAGAACACCGAUUGCGAAGGCAGCUUACUAUGGUUUUAUUGACGCUGAGGCACGAAAGCGUGGGGAUCAAACAGGAUUAGAUACCC